UACAGAGGUCUCAAGCGUUGUUCGGAUUCAUUGGGCGUAAAGGGUGCGUAGGCGGCGCGGUAAGUCGGGUGUGAAAUCUUGGAGCUUAACUCCGAAACUGCAUUCGAUACUGCCGUGCUUGAGGACUGGAGAGGAGACUGGAAUUUACGGUGUAGCGGUGAAAUGCGUAGAUAUCGGAAGGAACACCGGUGGCGAAAGCGGCGCGCUGGACCUCUUCUGACGCUGAGGCGCGAAAGCUAGGGGAGCGAACGGG
rnacentral:rRNA from 1 species